AACGGGCCGCCAUAUUUUAGCUCAGGAUCCAUAUGCACCACAUUUAGUGAUUGUUGCUGUGAUAUUUGUGCCGCCCGACAGGGGGACUGUUGGGAAUAAAUAAUUCUGUGUUCCUCCGUCUCUUUUAGCUUCUGCAGGCUCGGAUAAACACAGAGGCUCACACAUACGAAUGCAGCUUGUUUUAAAAGAAGUGACAUUUACAAAACAUAACAAAUAUAGUCAUUUGUUACAACUAUGGUUACAUUAAGAUGUAAAAUAUCAAAACAACCUGUCUCCAUGGAAACAGUACUGUAUGCACCAUAACAAGUUUCCAGAUCUGUUAAAAUAAAAUAGAUUUAACAUUUAAGUGAAACUUUCUGGUGCACAGAAGAAUAAAGUCUGUAAUUAGCCUAAUCAGAUGGCUGAAUGUUUUGUUUUAAAUACAUAGAGAGUUAAAUGUUUAUGGAGCUGUAAUCCUUUGAACAAUGUUACCAUGGAAACCAUAAGAGCAUCUGUCAAAUGUAAAUAUUAUAACAAAGAUAAUCUGAAGAGGUGGCUCGCAGAAAUUGACUGAAAUGGAGAAACUUCACCUGGAAGAGAAGGCAUCACUGGAAGAGAACCAAACCUGCACAAACCCAGGCGGCCAUGAUGAUAAAGCCUCAGUUGGUCCCAGCGAUGGACAGCAGGUUCAGCCCACCCAGAGGCUGCAGAACAAACACCGUUGUGACAAGUGUCUGAAAUAUUUCAGAUGGAA